rnacentral:rRNA from 1 species
AUGGAGACCACCGCCUCAUGGCGCCUCCUCCCGGCUGCGUCCUCGCCGCGUCCCUCCCUGCUUCAAGCCAGACGGCAGGCGACCUUCCCUUCGUCUCUUCAACAGCCGGCGAUCUCCAAGUCCAGGAUCCUCUGCCUUCUCCAUGACAAGCCUGCCCCUACCGCCCAGAGCUCGCAGCUGCAGAAGCUGGCCUCCGUGUUGCAGUGCGGCGCCGUCUGGGCAGCAGUGCAGGCCCCGGCUGCUCUGGCGACGGUGAGCGGGGAGGAGGACCUCGACCUCCUGGGGAUCCUGCCGCCGGUGGCCGCGAUCGCCUUCGUCUACCUCUUCGUUGCUCCCCCGAUUAUCAUGAACUGGAUGAGGCUGAGGUGGUUCAAGCGCAAGUUCGUCGAGACGUACCUGCAGUUCAUGUUCACUUACCUCUUCUUCCCCGGUUUGAUGCUGUGGGCACCGUUCGUCAAUUUCAGAAAGUUCCCAAGGGAUAAAACCAUGAAGUACCCUUGGUCAAAACCCAAGGAAGGCACCCCGCUGUUCAAGGACAGAUACCCACAAAUUGACUCCUUCAGAGAGAAGUACUACUAG